rnacentral:rRNA from 1 species
UACGUAGGGUGCGAGCGUUGUCCGGAAUUACUGGGCGUAAAGAGCUCGUAGGUGGUUUGUCGCGUUGUCCGUGAAAACUCACAACUCAAUUGUGGGCGUGCGGGCGAUACGGGCAGACUGGAGUACUGCAGGGGAGACUGGAAUUCCUGGUGUAGCGGUGAAAUGCGCAGAUAUCAGGAGGAACACCAAUAGCGAAGGCAGCUCGCUGGGACGGUACUGACGCUAAGGCGCGAAAGCGUGGGGAGCGAACAGG